rnacentral:rRNA from 1 species
UUGGCCUACGGGACGCAGCAGUGGGGGAUAUUGCACAAUGGGGGAAACCCUGAUGCAGCGACGCCGCGUGUGGGAGACGGUCCUCUGGAUUGUAAAACACUGUCCCCAGGGGCGAAGACGACGGUACCCGGGGAGGAAGCUCCGGCUAACUACGUGCCAGCAGCCGCGGUAAUACGUAGGGAGCAAGCGUUGUCCGGAAUUACUGGGUGUAAAGGGAGCGUAGGCGGGAUGGCAAGUAGAAUGUUAAAUCCAUCGGCUCAACCGGUGGCUGCGUU